GAUGAACGCUGGCGGCGUGCUUAACACAUGCAAGUCGAACGAUGAAGCCCAGCUUGCUGGGUGGAUUAGUGGCGAACGGGUGAGUAACACGUGAGUAACCUGCCCUUAACUCUGGGAUAAGCCUGGGAAACUGGGUCUAAUACCGGAUAGGAGCGCCUACCGCAUGGUGGGUGUUGGAAAGAUUUAUCGGUUUUGGAUGGACUCGCGGCCUAUCAGCUUGUUGGUGAGGUAAUGGCUCACCAAGGCGACGACGGGUAGCCGGCCUGAGAGGGUGACCGGCCACACUGGGACUGAGACACGGCCCAGACUCCUACGGGAGGCAGCAGUGGGGAAUAUUGCACAAUGGGCGAAAGCCUGAUGCAGCGACGCCGCGUGAGGGAUGACGGCCUUCGGGUUGUAAACCUCUUUCAGUAGGGAAGAAGCGAAAGUGACGGUACCUGCAGAAGAAGAACCGGCUAACUACGUG
rnacentral:rRNA from 1 species